CACAUGCAGUCGUACAAGGCAGCCGAGAGCUUGNCUCCUUGGCUGCGAGUGGCGGACGGCUUUGUAAUAUAUCGGAACGUGCCCAGUAGCGGGUGAUAACUACUCGAAAGAGUGGGUAAUACCGCAUACGCCCUACGGGGGAAAGGGGGGGAUCGCAAGACCUCUCACUAUUGGAGCGGCCGAUAUCGGAUUAGCUAGUUGGUGGGGUAAAGGCUCACCAAGGCAACGAUCCGUAGCUGGUUUGAGAGGACGACCAGCCACACUGGGACUGAGACACGGCCCAGACUCCUACGGGAGGCAGCAGUGGGGAAUUUUGGACAAUGGGGGAAACCCUGAUCCAGCCAUCCCGCGUGUAUGAUGAAGGCCUUCGGGUUGUAAAGUACUUUGGCAGAGAAGAAAGUAUCCCCUAAUACGGGAUACUGCUGACGGUAUCUGCAGAAUAAGCNCCGCUAACUACGUG
rnacentral:rRNA from 1 species